CGCGACCUUACUUGAACAGGAUCUGUUCUAUAGGUUUGUACCUCUGUAUUCUUGAAUUCUAAGGAGACAGGAAACCAAGUCUGAUUGAGGAUGUAUGUCCACAUGACUAGAGCGUGAUUAACAGCACCCUGGCCCUGGUUCAGGGUCAUCGGGGCAGUAGAGGAUCGUUCUCAGUUGGGUAUGCUCGGCUGGGAUGGUCAGGUGGUGGUCUGACAGAC
rnacentral:snoRNA from 1 species